rnacentral:rRNA from 1 species
UACGGAGGGUGCAAACGUUGCUCGGAAUCAUUGGGCGUAAAGCGCACGUAGGUGGCCUGUUAAGUCGGGUGUGAAAUCCCUGGGCUCAACCCAGGAAGUGCACUCGAAACUGGCAGGCUUGAGUACUGAAGAGGGUCGCGGAAUUCCCGGUGUAGAGGUGAAAUUCGUAGAUAUCGGGAGGAGCACCAGUGGCGAAGGCGGCGACCUGGGCAGAUACUGACACUGAGGUGCGAAAGCGUGGGGAGCAAACAGG